GAUGAAGAACGUAGUGAAAUGCGAUAAGUAAUGUGAAUUGCAGAAUUCAGUGAAUCAUCGAAUCUUUGAACGCACCUUGCACCCUUUGGUAUUCCGAAGGGUAUGCUCGUUUGAGUGUCAUUGUACUCUCACACUUCUAAUUCCUUUCGGGAUUGGGAGCGGUGGACUUGGGUGUUGCUGCUUUAGUUGUGGCUCACCUCAAAUAAGUUAGUGCAACUCUUGGUUGGACAUAGUACGGCGUGAUAAGUGUCUUCGCCGGCACCUCAUAAGAGGGUGGCCGAUCAGGAGCUCUGUGCUUUCAAACUGUCUUCGGACAAUCUCUGACAACUUGACCUCAAAUCGAGUAGGACUACCCGCUGAACUUAAGCAUAUCAAUAAGCGGAGUA
rnacentral:misc_RNA from 1 species